CGGUAGCAGCUCUAGCUUGCUAGAGGCUGACGAGUGGCGGACGGGUGAGUAACGCGUAGGAAUCUGCCUUACAGUGGGGGACAACUCGAGGAAACUCGAGCUAAUACCGCAUACGCUCUACGGAGGAAAGCUGGGGUAACCUGGCGCUGUUAGAUGAGCCUGCGUCGGAUUAGCUUGUUGGUGGGGUAAAGGCCCACCAAGGCGACGAUCCGUAGCUGUUCUGAGAGGAAGAUCAGCCACACUGGAACUGAGACACGGUCCAGACUCCUACGGGAGGCAGCAGUGGGGAAUAUUGGACAAUGGGGGAAACCCUGAUCCAGCAAUACCGCGUGUGUGAAGAAGGCCUGCGGGUUGUAAAGCACUUUCAGUUGGGAAGAAGUUGCGCCCUUAAAUAGGGGGCGUAAUUGACGUUACUAACAGAAGAAGCACCGGCUAACUCUGUGCCAGCAGCCGCGGUAAUACAGAGGGUGCAAGCGUUAAUCGGAAUCACUGGGCGUAAAGCGUGUGUAGGUGGUUAGGUAAGUUGGAUGUGAAAGCCCUGGGCUCAACCUGGGAAUUGCAUUCAAUACUGCUUAACUAGAGUACAGUAGAGGAAAGUGGAAUUUCCGGUGUAGCGGUGAAAUGCAUAGAUAUCGGAAGGAACACCAGUGGCGAAGGCGGCUUUCUGGCCUGAUACUGACACUGAGACACGAAAGCGUGGGGAGCAAACAGGAUUAGAUACCCUGGUAGUCCACGCCGUAAACGAUGAUAACUAGCUGUCCGGGUUCACAGAACUUGGGUGGCGCAGCUAACGCAUUAAGU
rnacentral:rRNA from 1 species